GACGAACGCUGGCGGCGUGCUUAACACAUGCAAGUCGAACGAUGAAGCUGGAGCUUGCUCCGGUGGAUUAGUGGCGAACGGGUGAGUAACACGUGAGCAAUCUGCCCUUGACUCUGGGAUAACUGCGGGAAACUGUAGCUAAUACCGGAUACUUUCACUGGAAGGCAUCUUCUGGUGAAGAAAGAAUUUCGGUCAAGGAUGAGCUCGCGGCCUAUCAGCUUGUUGGUGAGGUAACGGCUCACCAAGGCGACGACGGGUAGCCGGCCUGAGAGGGUGACCGGCCACACUGGGACUGAGACACGGCCCAGACUCCUACGGGAGGCAGCAGUGGGGAAUAUUGCACAAUGGGCGCAAGCCUGAUGCAGCAACGCCGCGUGAGGGAUGAAGGCCUUCGGGUUGUAAACCUCUUUUAGCAGGGAAGAAGCGAAAGUGACGGUACCUGCAGAAAAAGCACCGGCUAACUACGUGCCAGUAGCCGCGGUAA
rnacentral:rRNA from 1 species